UUUAAUAAGUACUGGUAGGUACUAAUAAAUAAUUUUUACUUUUGAUUCACCAAUUUACAAAUAAGAUUGAAUUUUCUGUCAGAAACCUUCUUCAAAAUUCCAUGAAAAAUUCAAAUCUGUUAUCAGAAUUUGUAUUGUAGUAUUAAAUUAGUACGUUGGAAAUAGAACACAUCAAUUUUUCUACUUAAACUAUACAAAUAAAUUACAAUAAAAGACAAAGAGAAAAUUAAUCACCGUCUCAAUUGGUAACAUUCUUAGUGUCACACAAAUUAACAGAAUAACCCCAGCCAUAAGACAUAAUGUAUUAUUAAAGAAUCACCGGAGAAUCUACAACUUUACCACGAAGAACAGAUUAUGGAUGUGACAAAACCUUGGUCGUACUAUGAUUUGAGCCAUGAUCUCCUAGAUCCAAUGAUAAUUGGUUUAUCAUUGAAGAUGGAGAAUGGAGAGUUUGAGCCAUUAGAUGUAGUUUCAUACUCAAUGCCAUCACAUACACUAUGAACAAAAGAUGAAGUAAACCAGCCAUAUAAACAGCAAUCACCAUUUUCAAUAAUUGGUUACAGUAUUUUUUUUUUCAAUAAUAUACAUUUUAUGAUUAUUUAUAAUCAAAUAAAAUAUUGGAAUAUUAAAAUGAUAACAUUAACACUAAUAAAUUUAAAAAUAUACCAAAUCAUUAAAUUUGUUGGAAUAAUAAAUAUUAAUUAUUUAUAAUGGGUAUGAAUGGACUAAGUUGUAUUAUGUUAAUCUUUUCUUAAAAUUAUAAGGGAUACUCUCUCAUCGAACAAUUUUGAUUUUAAUUUAGUAUAAAUAUACAGAAAAAAUGAAAUUCUUUUUAAUAAUUUAAAUUUGUAUGGAUCAAAUAAAAAAAAAAAUGAUUGUACCAUAAUAAAAUUAACAUGAUAUGGGUAAUUAAACAUGUAUUUAUUAUGUGCUAGUAUACCCUUAAAAAUAAUAUUAUUUUGUUUAUCUGUCAACUAUUACGUAAUGUAUUACCAAACCAUAGGCAUGUACUUCGUAGUAUUCGAAGGCUUCUUAAUUAUGGCUGCCAUUUUGUUGAUGUCAGUCUCAACCAUCUGACCUACUUGACCAGAAUUAAUACAUAUUUCAUCUUAAAUAAUUAUUUUAAAUACCUAGCUACAUAAUAAUUGUAGUUCGAAAUUCCCUUUGCA